rnacentral:rRNA from 1 species
UACGUAGGGCGCAAGCGUUAUCCGGAAUUAUUGGGCGUAAAGAGCUCGUAGGCGGUUUGUCGCGUCUGCUGUGAAAGACCGGGGCUCAACUCCGGUUCUGCAGUGGGUACGGGCAGACUAGAGUGCAGUAGGGGAGACUGGAAUUCCCGGUGUAGCGGUGAAAUGUGUAGAGAUCGAGAGGAACACCUGCGGCGAAGGCGGGUUGCUGGGCUGACACUGACGCUGAGGCGCGAAAGCUAGGGGAGCGAACGGG